CAGAUCCUUCUCCAGAGUCACGAAAACUUGGUUUUUAGUGUGGAAGUCGUCAGCCACUUGACCUGGAGGGACUCAAUUGCCGGUGCGCAGCAGUGAACUGCGAAUUUUGUCGCAUAUUGAGCAAAAGUGGAAGUGCUAAUCAACAUUAUAAGCGUGGAAUGAUAACAAGAUUUUAUUGGGGAACUGUGGGAAAAUGAUUUGACGCACCAAUACUGUGGAUUUUAUGCUUGGCGCAGAUUAUCUGAUAAGGAGUUUUUGAUGGAUACCGAUUUAAAAAUGUCUUUGUUCACCACCCUGGGUGCAUUGGCGAUGAUUAUUGCCUUCAGCUUCACUGCCGCAUUGAACUGAAUC
rnacentral:sRNA from 1 species